CUUGGUCAUUUAGAGGAAGUAAAAGUCGUAACAAGGUUUCCGUAGGUGAACCUGCGGAAGGAUCAUUAUCAAAACAGCGGGCUUCGGCCCUUGCUGCACCCUUGUCUUUUGCGCACCGUAUCGUUUCCUCGGCGGGCUUGCCUGCCGGUUGGACACCAUAAAACCUUUUUGUAGUUGCAAUCAGCGUCAGAAAAAUCAUAAUUAUUACAACUUUCAACAACGGAUCUCUUGGUUCUGGCAUCGAUGAAGAACGCAGCGAAAUGCGAAAAGUAGUGUGAAUUGCAGAAUUCAGUGAAUCAUCGAAUCUUUGAACGCACAUUGCGCCCCUUGGUAUUCCAUGGGGCAUGCCUGUUCGAGCGUCAUUUUGUACCCUCAAGCACUGCUUGGUGUUGGGCGUUUGUCCUGCAAAGGACUCGCCUGAAAGCGAUUGGCGGCCAACGUAGUCGUGGCAGAGCGCAGCACAAUUUGCGUCUCUCCCCUCUGCGUCGGCGUCCAUAAAGCCUACAAUUCAAACGUUUGACCUCGGAUCAGGUAGGGAUACCCGCUGAACUUAAGCAUAUCAAUAAGCGGAGGAAAAGAAACCAACAGGGAUUGCCCUAGUAACGGCGAGUGAAGCGGCAUCAGCUCAAAUUUGAAAUCUGGCUCUUUCAGAGUCCGAGUUGUAAUUUGCAGAGGGCGCUUUGGUGUCGGCAGCGGUCCAAGUUCCUUGGAACAGGACGUCACAGAGGGUGAGAAUCCCGUACGUGGUCGCUGACCUACACCGUGUAAAGCCCCUUCGACGAGUCGAGUUGUUUGGGAAU
rnacentral:sRNA from 1 species